AGUGAACGCUGGCGGUAGGCCUAACACAUGCAAGUCGAACGGCAGCACAGGAGAGCUUGCUCUCUGGGUGGCGAGUGGCGGACGGGUGAGGAAUACAUCGGAAUCUACUCUGUCGUGGGGGAUAACGUAGGGAAACUUACGCUAAUACCGCAUACGACCUACGGGUGAAAGCAGGGGACCUUCGGGCCUUGCGCGAUUGAAUGAGCCGAUGUCGGACUAGCUAGUUGGCGGGGUAAAGGCCCACCAAGGCGACGAUCCGUAGCUGGUCUGAGAGGGUGAUCAGCCACACUGGAACUGAGACACGGUCCAGACUCCUACGGGAGGCAGCAGUGGGGAAUAUUGGACAAUGGGCGCAAGCCUGAUUCAGCCAUACCGCGUGGGUGAAGAAGGCCUUCGGGUUGUAAAGCCCUUUUGUUGGGAAAGAAAUCCAGCUGGCUAAUACCCGGUUGGGAUGACGGUACCCAAAGAAUAAGCACCGGCUAACUUCGUGCCAGCCGCCGCCGUAA
rnacentral:rRNA from 1 species